GGGUCAGUAGGUUGGUCGUGCCACCGGUACGUACUGGUCUCACUGAUUCCUCCUUCCUGAAGAACCGUAAUGCCAUUAAUUUGGUGUUGCGGGGAAACAGGACUGUUACUUUGAAAAAAUUAGAGUGUUUAAAGCAAGCUAACGCUUGAAUACGUUAGCAUGGAAUAAUGAAAUAGGACGAUCGACCCUAUUUUGUUGGUUUCUAGGAUUGACGUA
rnacentral:rRNA from 1 species